rnacentral:rRNA from 1 species
CUAAGAAUCUUGCGCAAUGGGCGAAAGCCUGACGCAGCAACGCCGCGUGGGGGACGAAGGCCCUAGGGUCGUAAACCCCUUUUGCGAAGGAAGAAGUUCUGACGGUACUUCGCGAAUAAGACACGGCUAACUACGUGCCAGCAGCCGCGGUAAUACGUAGGUGUCAAACGUUGUCCGGAUUUAUUGGGCGUAAAGCGCCCGCAGGCGGCUUUGUAAGUUCUAAGUGAAAUCUCCCGGCUCAACUGGGAGGGGUCUUGGAAAACUGCAAGGCUUGAGGCAGGGAGAGGGAUGUGGAAUUCCAGGUGUAGCGGUGGAAUGCGUAGAUAUCUGGAGGAACACCAGUGGCGAAGGCGGCAUCCUGGCCCCUGUCCCUGACGCUGAGGGGCGAAAGCGUGGGGAGCAAACCGGAUUAGAUACCCGGGUAGUCCACGCCGUAAACGAUGAGCACUAGAUGUAGGGGGUAUCGACCCCCUCUGUGUCGAAGCUAACGCGAUAAGUGCUCCGCCUGGGGACUACGGCCG